AUUGAACGCUGGCGGCAGGCUUAACACAUGCAAGUCGAGCGGGGUGAUGGUGCUUGCACUAUCACUUAGCGGCGGACGGGUGAGUAAUGCUUAGGAAUCUGCCUAUUAGUGGGGGACGACAUCUCGAAAGGGAUGCUAAUACCGCAUACGUCCCACGGGAGAAAGCAGGGGAUCACUUGUGACCUUGCGCUAAUAGAUGAGCCUAAGUCGGAUUAGCUAGUUGGUGGGGUAAAGGCCUACCAAGGGGACGAUCUGUAGCGGGUCUGAGAGGAUGAUCCGCCACACUGGGACUGAGACACGGCCCAGACUCCUACGGGAGGCAGCAGUGGGGAAUAUUGGACAAUGGGGGGAACCCUGAUCCAGCCAUGCCGCGUGUGUGAAGAAGGCCUUAUGGUUGUAAAGCACUUUAAGCGAGGAGGAGGCUCUUUUGGUUAAUACCCAAGAUGAGUGGACGUUACUCGCAGAAUAAGCACCGGCUAACUCUGUGCCAGCCGCCGCAGUAA
rnacentral:rRNA from 1 species